UCGAGAAACAACCAAGAUUAUUGAAUGAACAACGUCCAUCUUGCAAAGGUGUUUGAUAUUGUUUGUUUAUUAGCUAUUUGCAUUUUUGUCCAUUCAAAAGUUAUUAUUUGUUGCGAAUUGUGCUGUCGUGUUUACUUAGCCCAUAUGAGUAAACGAGUAAAGGCCUGCUGUGUACCAGGAUGCACGAAUAAGCAAGCGAUAAGACAUUCCAUUCCUACGAAUGAAGACGUUUGCAGAAUUUGGUUGCAAAGAAUAAAUAACCCCAAGUUAUACAGCAGAUAUAGUAUUAUCAUAACAUAGAAUAUGUAAUAUUCAUUUUGAACCAAUUUGUAGAAACCCCAAUGGCAGGUUAAAAAAAGUUUCACUGCUAACUCUACCUUUACACCUGGGCAAAGAUCAACAAUGUAAAGACUAUGAUGUGAUGAAUAUGGUAUAUGUUAAAUAUAAGAAAAGCUGCAAGAUAGACAACGGUAAUCAUUAAUUAUACAUGGUUAUAAAAUAAGUUUUUUAUAUACCAUUGGAUGUACCAUGUACAAACAGAAACAUUUUUC